AUUGAACGCUGGCGGCAUGCCUUACACAUGCAAGUCGAACGGCAGCACGGGGGCAACCCUGGUGGCGAGUGGCGAACGGGUGAGUAAUGCAUCGGAACGUGCCCCGUAGCGGGGGAUAACCAGUCGAAAGACUGGCUAAUACCGCAUACGCUCCACGGAGGAAAGCAGGGGAUCGCAAGACCUUGCACUAUGGGAGCGGCCGAUGCCCGAUUAGCUAGUUGGUGAGGUAAAGGCUCACCAAGGCGACGAUCGGUAGCUGGUUUGAGAGAACGACCAGCCACACUGGGACUGAGACACGGCCCAGACUCCGUACGGGAGGCAGCAGUGGGGAAUUUUGGACAAUGGGCGCAAGCCUGAUCCAGCCAUGCCGCGUGCGGGAUGAAGGCC
rnacentral:rRNA from 1 species